GAACGCUAGCUACAGGCUUAACACAUGCAAGUCGAGGGGAAACGACAUCGAAAGCUUGCUUUUGAUGGGUGUCGACCGGCGCACGGGUGAGUAACGCGUAUCCAACCUGCCCAUCACUUGGGGAUAACCUUGCGAAAGUAAGACUAAUACCCAAUGAUAUCUCUAGAAGACAUCUGAAAGAGAUUAAAGAUUUAUCGGUAAUGGAUGGGGAUGCGUCUGAUUAGCUUGUUGGCGGGGUAACGGCCCACCAAGGCAACGAUCAGUAGGGGUUCUGAGAGGAAGGUCCCCCACAUUGGAACUGAGACACGGUCCAAACUCCUACGGGAGGCAGCAGUGAGGAAUAUUGGUCAAUGGACGAGAGUCUGAACCAGCCAAGUAGCGUGCAGGAAGACGGCCCUAUGGGUUGUAAACUGCUUUUAUAAGGGAAUAAAGUGAGUCUCGUGAGACUUUUUGCAUGUACCUUAUGAAUAAGGACCGGCUAAUUCCGUGCCAGCAGCCGCGGUAAUACGGAAGGUCCGGGCGUUAUCCGGAUUUAUUGGGUUUAAAGGGAGCGUAGGCCGGAGAUUAAGCGUGUUGUGAAAUGUAGACGCUCAACGUCUGCACUGCAGCGCGAACUGGUUUCCUUGAGUACGCACAAAGUGGGCGGAAUUCGUGGUGUAGCGGUGAAAUGCUUAGAUAUCACGAAGAACUCCGAUUGCGAAGGCAGCUCACUGGAGCGCAACUGACGCUGAAGCUCGAAAGUGCGGGUAUCGAACAGGAUUAGAUACCCUGGUAGUCCGCACGGUAAACGAUGGAUGUCCGCUGUUGGUCUGAAUAGGUCAGCGGCCAAGCGAAAGCAUUAAGCAUCCCACCUGGGGAGUACGCCGGCAACGGUGAAACUCAAAGGAAUUGACGGAAGGGGGG
rnacentral:rRNA from 1 species